rnacentral:rRNA from 1 species
UAGGGAAUCUUCCACAAUGGACGCAAGUCUGAUGGAGCAACGCCGCGUGAGUGAAGAAGGUUUUCGGAUCGUAAAGCUCUGUUGUUGGUGAAGAAGGAUAGAGGCAGUAACUGGUCUUUAUUUGACGGUAAUCAACCAGAAAGUCACGGCUAACUACGUGCCAGCAGCCGCGGUAAUACGUAGGUGGCAAGCGUUGUCCGGAUUUAUUGGGCGUAAAGCGAGCGCAGGCGGAAUGAUAAGUCUGAUGUGAAAGCCCACGGCUCAACCGUGGAACUGCAUCGGAAACUGUCAUUCUUGAGUGCAGAAGAGGAGAGUGGAAUUCCAUGUGUAGCGGUGGAAUGCGUAUAUAUAUGGAAGAACACCAGUGGCGAAGGCGGCUCUCUGGUCUGCAACUGACGCUGAGGCUCGAAAGCAUGGGUAGCGAACAGG